GUCCUAUCGGUCCCGCUGGUCUUCCUGGUCCACCUGGUUCAAAGGGAGAUAGAGGAGACAAAGGAGAAGAUGGGAAGCCUGGAGUCUCUGAGAGCGCAGGGAGUGAGUGUGUUCACUAUUUAAAAUGUACAUUAUAAAUGCAUUUAUAUCAUUAAUUCUCUCUUCAUCUAAAUUGAGCAGAGAAAGCUACUUCUGAACCUGGUCCUCCUGGCCCACCUGGUCUGCCAGGACCACCUGGACCGCCGGGGAGUGAUGGAAAACCAGGUAUUGGUCAACCUGGUCCUCCUGGUGAAAAAGGUGAACCAGGAAGCUUUGUACCCACUUCAGAAACCUUCUUUGCCGGACCACCUGGGCCUCCUGGACCAAAGGGAUCACAAGGUUGAUCCAAUACACAUUACACACACACACACACACACACACACACACACACACAUAUAUAUAUACAUAUAUAUAUAUAUAUAUUAUUUAUUUAAUUGUUUAUUUUUGAGAUCCUGUACCCUGUGA
ensembl:lncRNA